rnacentral:misc_RNA from 1 species
CAGCUUUCGUCCCCCCGUGUCCUGCACGGGGGGUCGGCCUUGGGUGUUGCCCCUAGCCGGGCUCGCCUCAAACGCAUCGGUGGCCUUGCGGCCCUUGGUCCUGCGUGAUAUGUAUCGCUAGACCUCGGGACGGCAGGCUUCCUUGAAACCGCCCUCGCUCAGCGAGCGGACUCUUGU